GACGAACGCUGGCGGCGUGCUUAACACAUGCAAGUCGAACGGAAAGGCCCUGCUUUUGUGGCGUGCUCGAGUGGCGAACGGGUGAGUAACACGUGAGUAACCUGCCCUUGACUUUGGGAUAACUUCAGGAAACUGGGGCUAAUACCGGAUAGGAGCUCCUGCUGCAUGGUGGGGGUUGGAAAGUUUCGGCGGUUGGGGAUGGACUCGCGGCGUAUCAGCUUGUCGGUGGGGUAGUGGCUUACCAAGGCUUUGACGGGUAGCCGGCCUGAGAGGGUGACCGGCCACAUUAGAACUGAGAUACGGCCCAGACUCCACCGGGAGGCAGCGGUGGGGAAGAUUACACAAUGGACGGAAGCCUGGUGCAACAAAGCCGCGUGGGGGAAGACAGCCAUCGGGUUGUAAAGCACAUUCGCCUGUGACGGGACGUUAAUGACGGUAAUGGGUAAAGAAGCACCGGCUAACUACGUG
rnacentral:rRNA from 1 species